GGAAUAUUGCACAAUGGGCGCAAGCCUGAUGCAGCGACGCCGCGUGAGUGAUGAAGUAUUUCGGUAUGUAAAGCUCUAUCAGCAGGGAAGAAAAUGACGGUACCUGACUAAGAAGCCCCGGCUAACUACGUGCCAGCAGCCGCGGUAAUACGUAGGGGGCAAGCGUUAUCCGGAUUUACUGGGUGUAAAGGGAGCGUAGGUGGCAUGGCAAGCCAGAAGGGAAAAUCCGGGGCUCAACCUCGGAACUGCUUUUGGAACUGUCAAGCUAGAGUGCAGGAGAGGCAAGCGGAAUUCCUAGUGUAGCGGUGAAAUGCGUAGAUAUUAGGAGGAACACCAGUGGCGAAGGCGGCUUGCUGGACUGUAACUGACACUGAGGCUCGAAAGCGUGGGGAGCAAACA
rnacentral:rRNA from 1 species